rnacentral:rRNA from 1 species
UACAGAGGGUGCAAACGUUGCUCGGAAUCACUGGGCGUAAAGGGCGCGUAGGCGGCCAUUCAAGUCAGAGGUGAAAGCCCAAGGCUCAACCUUGGAACUGCCUUUGAUACUGUUUGGCUUGAGACCGGUAGAGGUAAGUGGAACUGCGAGUGUAGAGGUGAAAUUCGUAGAUAUUCGCAAGAACACCAGUGGCGAAGGCGGCUUACUGGACCGGUUCUGACGCUGAGGCGCGAAAGCGUGGGGAGCAAACAGG